CACGUAGGGUGCGAGCGUUGUCCGGAAUUAUUGGGCGUAAAGAGCUCGUAGGCGGUGUGUCGCGUCGGCCGUGAAAACCUGCAGCUUAACUGUGGGCUUGCGGUCGAUACGGGCAUCACUGGAGUUCGGCAGGGGAGACUGGAAUACCUGGUGUAGCGGUGAAAUGCGCAGAUAUCAGGUGGAACACCGAUGGCGAAGGCAGUGAUCUGGGCCAGUACUGACGCUGAGGAGCGAAAGCGUGGGGAGCAAACAGG
rnacentral:rRNA from 1 species